CCGGUACACUGGAAUGUGAAUUGUGCAAAGCACUGGUAGAUGAACUGGACCAGGUCCUAGUCAAUAACCGUUCUGAAGAGGUCAUCAACUCCACUAUUUACCAGCUAUGUGGGGAGGUACCGGGUGCCUUAAAAAACUAUUGCAUGACUUACGCUCCACGGAUUGUCCAGCUACUGGAGACUGGAUUUGACCCCUCGAGUGUCUGCACACUACUGCGAGCCUGUAGUGGAACAUUUAUUCCUGUCGAAGAAGAGGGUCUCGAACUCGAACCUUACGUAACUCAUGAAAAAGAAAGCUUAACGGACUUUAUUAAAGAUGUCCUUCCUAACGAAGU